UACGUAGGCAGCGAGCGUUGUUCGGAGUUACUGGGCGUAAAGAGUAUGUAGGCGGUUUGGUAAGUCUGGUGUGAAAUCUCCCGGCUCAACUGGGAGGGUGCGCCGGAAACUGCCGGGCUGGAGUGCGGGAGAGGAGAGCGGAAUUCCUGGUGUAGCGGUGAAAUGCGUAGAUAUCAGGAGGAACACCGGCGGUGUAGACGGCUCUCUGGACCGUAACUGACGCUGAGAUACGAAAGCGUGGGUAG
rnacentral:rRNA from 1 species